rnacentral:rRNA from 1 species
CCCUAUGGGGUGCAGCAGGCGCGAAACCUCCACACUGUACGAAAGUGCGAUGGGGGAAUCCUACGUGCUCAUGUUCUGCAUGGGCUUUUGCCAAGAUUAGACACCUUGGCGAAUAAGGGGUGGGCAAGACUGGUGCCAGCCGCCGCGGUAACACCAGCGCCCCAAGUGGUGAUCACGUUUAUUGGGCCUAAAGCGUCCGUAGCCGGAUAAGUAAAUCCGCUGUGAAAUCGUCUCGCUUAACGUGACGGCGUGCAGUGGACACUGCUCAUCUUGAGACCGGGAGGAGUCAGAGGUAUGCCAUGGGGACCGGUAAAAUGGGAUAAUCCAUGGUAGACCACCAAUGGCGAAGGCAUCUGACCAGAACGGAUCUGACGGUGAGGGACGAAAGCCAGGGGAGCGAACCGGAUUAGAUACCCGAGUAGUCCUGGCCGUAAACGCUGUGAGCUAGGUGUUGCCCAUCCCACGUGGAUCGGCAGUGUCGAAACGAAUGUGCUAAGCUCACCGCCUGGGAAGUACGGUCGCAAGACUGAAACUUUAAGGAAUUGGCGGGGGAGCACUACAAGGGGUGCGGCGUGCGGUUUAAUCUAACUCAACGCAGAAAAUCUCACUAGGAGCGACGGCAGGAUGAAGGACAAGCUGAAGACUUUUCCCGACGAGCCGAGAGGUAGUGCAUGGCC